rnacentral:rRNA from 1 species
CCUACGGGAGGCAGCAGUGAGGAAUAUUGGUCAAUGGACGAAAGUCUGAACCAGCCAAGUCGCGUGAAGGAUGACGGCCCUAUGGGUUGUAAACUUCUUUUAUAUGGGAAUAAACUGUGCCACGUGUGGGAUUUUGUAUGUACCAUAUGAAUAAGGAUCGGCUAACUCCGUGCCAGCAGCCGCGGUAAUACGGAGGAUCCGAGCGUUAUCCGGAUUUAUUGGGUUUAAAGGGUGCGUAGGUGGUUUGUUAAGUCAGUGGUGAAAGUUUGGGGCUCAACCGUAGAAUUGCAGUUGAAACUGGCAGUCUUGAGUACAGUAGAGGUAUGCGGAAUGCGUGGUGUAGCGGUGAAAUGCUUAGAUAUCACGAAGAACGCCGAUUGCGAAGGCAGCUCACCGGACUGCAACUGACGCUGAGGCACGAAAGCGUGGGGAUCAAACAGGAUUAGAUACCCUUGUAGUC